rnacentral:lncRNA from 1 species
UUCUUUUUGCUUGCUGCCAUCUGUGGAAGAUGUGACUUGCUCAUGCUUGACUGCUGCCAUGGUUGUGAGGCCUCCCCAGCCAUGUGGAACUGUUUUCAGGUGCUGGUUCCAUGGCUCUUCCUGAACUCAAAAUAAGGAAACUCCAUAGACACUGUCCACUGGAACUCGUUCCCAUCUACCCUCCACUCUGUCCAGGGUGAUGGAUCUCUGCAGUGAGUAGAAGAGUUCCUCAUGGCCCCCAAGGUUAUAUCCAUCUAGAACUUCAGCAUGUAAUUUCAUUUGGAAAUAAUGCCUUUGCAGAUAUAAUUUAGGUAAAACUGGAGAUGAGAUCAUACUGGAUUAGGAUGGGAUCUAAAUCCAAUGAAAAUAUAUUCAUAAAAAACAGGAAAGAACCCAUAGAAACUCAAGGAAGAAGGUCAUGUGAAGAUGGAGGCAGAGAUUGGAGGGAUGCAGCCACUGGCCCAGGAACGCCAGCAGCCACCCAGAAGCUGGAAGGAAAUGAAGGAUUCUUUCCUAGAACCUUUAGAGCGAACAUGGUCCUGUGAACAGCUUGAUUUUGGACUUGCCCAUAGCUUGUAUACUCUUACUUUGGAUACAAUUUUAUCCCAACUUGGCUAAACAGUUUUUCAGCCUAUAGAAAAUUUAAAAUGGAGAAGAUUCAACUCAAUUCUUACAGAUUCAAAGCAAGAAAAUGAUGGGAACAUAGGAGGAGACCAAGAAAGCCUAUAAAAAACAAAAAUAUGAAGUGAACAUUGUGGUAGCUUUAAGAUGUUUAGUGUAGCUGCAGGCACCCUAUACAGAUGAAAACCCCCAAGGGGAUCCCCAUAUCACAGUGUAGUGUGAUAUUUGACAUUCGUGAUCAUCUAGAGAUGUACAGAAAAGGUGAAUCUAUGUUCUGUAUAUUCUGCCUAAGGCAAAGAAAUGUUUAGCUCCCUUUAAAAUAGUUCCAUAAUUUUUUCUAAAAACCUUUGCUUGAAAACUGUAAGCUUCCCAUAUCUGGAGCAUUUCACUUUAAAUAUUUGGAUAAAUAUGUUAUCUUCUUACUUAGACAUUUCAUGUGUUUAGGGAUUGUCUUCUAAAUUCUUCCUAAUUCAUAUAGCUGCUAACACUUCCUGCAGAGCUAAACCAUUACAGAUAUGAAAUAAAGACCUAUUGAUUUGACUUACUUUUACUUGUAAAACCUUCUGAGUGUUAUAACCUCAUUUAAUUUUUCAGCUUUUACAGUUUCAAGAGUUUGUGUCACAAUUAGAAGAAUUCAACUGCACCUCCAAGUGACAGCAGUUGCUCCAGUUGGUGGGUGAUCUCAGGAGGCUUGAGAAUUGCUUUGUCUGUGAGGGAAGUAAGACACUUUCAGAGCCCCACUUUAGAAGGUGUGCACUGGCUAGAUAAUGAACCCCAGGGCUAAUGCUGCUAUAACAGUGGGAAGGAGGUGAUGGGUUUUCAGUUUGGACCUCAAACAUCAAUACCCUCCUAGUAGGGGGAGGAACAGAGUCCCUCCUUUACUUCUCCAUUAGAAAGAAUGAGAUGGCAAGACAAUGGAACAGGCAAAAUGAACAGAGAUGUAAGACAAAAUUCAGGUGAGAGAGCCGGAGCAUCACUCAGCCAUUCCUGACAUGUAAAACAGGCAACUAGAAAUUUGCAGAAAGGAAGCGAAGUCUCCAUAAAGAUGUUUUUAAAGUGAGCUUGAAGUAUUUGGAGACAAUUCAGUGUUACAUAAAAUCUGCAAAUCUCUGGAUAAAGAAGCAGAGAUCCCAGCAUGGGACAAAUGGAGCCUCAAAGUGGGAAGAAGACAGAGAAGACCAGGCCAGAAUGUAUCUCUUCCUUUCUCUUGGCUUUCCUGGAUAAGGACUGCAUCAUUCCUGUGGAAGGACAGGCCAUCAGCUCCGAAACACUGUAUGUAUUUUCCAGUAUAUACUGCUAGCCGUGUGAUGUUGGAAAAUUCCUUACCCUGUCUAACCCCCACUUCCCUCAUCUGUAAAAUGGAAAUAAUGAUAGUACCUACCUAUCUCAUAGGUGGCAACUACAAGGGGUAGCACACUCAGGGAAUUAAGGAAGUUUCAGUGAACGUCAACUUUAUGAACACAGUGUUCAUAAAGGCAGGUCAGUGCAGUGGUUUGGGAGCCAGGAGCAGCACAUGGGCCGGAGUGUGCCUGCAGGAGACAAGGUCAGAGAUGUUGCUAAUAAUGGAGAAUAAAGGAUGCCUUCUCAUUACUGA